AAAAAAGAAGAAGGAAAGAACAGACCUAUAGCAGGUGCCUCGCUAAAGCAUCUUCUGCGUGGGGCCUGAUGUCACCCCUCUCUGUGACCUCAGGACCUUUAGUAAGUCCUCUGCUCACAAGGAUUUGUCAAGAGUAGGAUUUUGCAAAUGGAAGAGGGGUGAAAUUUCACAUCUGAGUCAGCACAGGACCAGCAGAAUCACUGAGGAAGAAGCAGGAGCAGGGGAUGGGUGCAAACCUAAGUCUCCAGGUCUGAGAUCUUCAGGGCUUCAGACGCAAUUCACCUCCAUGACUGUGCUGGCAAAGAGGAACGGAAGAACCACAAGGUGGCUUAGAGUCCACACCUGAGACCAAUCCUGAUUCACGCCCAGGCACCGGGCCCACCUUCCUUGAGUGAAACAUGGCUCCAGCUCCAUGGGUCCAAACCCAGACCGGCCACUAAUCUCCCGAAGGACUAGACCAUGGUGACCUGUCCCUGAAGACUCACUUGGGAGGAAUGAUGACAGCAGCACAGAGGACACUGGUCCCUGAAUGAUCGGCACACACAGUGUGUGUGGGAUGCAGCCUGUUGGGCCCCUGGCAAUGCUGGGUGACCCAGGGCAGCUUGGAGACGUGCCAGGAAUGACCAUCUCUGAAGUCCCCUCCCGGAUCAGCCCCACCCGACCCCCCAGGAAUCACUGACCAAUCAGAGAAGCAGCCGGAGAGCAGGAGGGAACCCCAAACCCGGAGGUCUCAAAUCUCAAACUGGCAGGCCAAGAGCCGUAUCAAGGCCUGGAGUGAUUUUGUUCUGUUUUGUUUUUUAUUUUGUUUUUAAUGCAGUUAUUGCCAGUGUUUGCAAAAACGAUAUAAAAUGUCUCGUUUCUCUUUAAAAAUAAAAAAAGGAGGCGCACUUGGGUGGCUCA
rnacentral:lncRNA from 1 species